rnacentral:rRNA from 1 species
AGUAACACGUGAAUUAUCUACCUUCGAGUGGGGAAUAACUGAGAGAAAUCUUAGCUAAUACCGCAUAAUACCUACGGGUCAAAGCAGCAAUGCGCUUGAAGAGGAGUUCGCGGCAGAUCAGUUAGUUGGCGGGGUAAUGGCCCACCAAGACGAUGAUCGAUAUCCGGCCUGAGAGGGCGCACGGACACACUGGAACUGAAACACGGUCCAGACUCCUACGGGAGGCAGCAGUGGGGAAUUUUGCGCAAUGGGGGAAACCCUGACGCAGCAACGCCGCGUGGAGGAUGAAGCCCCUUGGGGCGUAAACUCCUUUCGAUAGGGAAGAUAAUGACGGUACCUAUAGAAGAAGCCCCGGCUAACUUCGUGCCAGCAGCCGCGGUAAUACGAGGGGGGCAAGCGUUGUUCGGAAUUAUUGGGCGUAAAGGGUGCGUAGACGGUUUGGUAAGUCUUGUGUGAAAUCUUCGGGCUCAACUCGAAGUCUGGACGAGAAACUGGCGGGCUUGAGUAUGGGAGAG